UACGAAGGUCCCAAGCGUUAUCCGGAUUUAUUGGGUUUAAAGGGUGCGUAGGCGGACUAUUAAGUCAGUGGUGAAAUCCCCCGGCCUAACCGGGGAACUGCCGUUGAUACUGAUGGUCUUGAGUACAUUUGAGGUGGGCGGAAUGUGUCAUGUAGCGGUGAAAUGCUUAGAUAUGACACAGAACACCGAUUGCGAAGGCAGCUCACUAAACUGUAACUGACGCUGAGGCACGAAAGCGUGGGGAGCAAACAGG
rnacentral:rRNA from 1 species